UUUCAGAGUUUACAAACACGAAUGCAACACCUGAAAAACAAAUCAAGCCAUCAAAGAAGUCUGGACCUGAAUCAGAAGUAAUUCAAUUGCAGCGAGAGCUU